rnacentral:rRNA from 1 species
ACCAACCUACGGGGCGCAGCAGUGAGGAAUAUUGGUCAAUGGGCGGAAGCCUGAACCAGCCAAGUCGCGUGAGGGAAUAAGGCCCUACGGGUUGUAAACCUCUUUUGCCGGGGAGCAAGGGCCGGGACGCGUCCCGGCCCGGAGAGGACCCGGAGAAAAAGCAUCGGCUAACUCCGUGCCAGCAGCCGCGGUAAUACGGAGGAUGCGAGCGUUAUCCGGAUUUAUUGGGUUUAAAGGGUGCGUAGGCGGGCUUUUAAGUCAGCGGUAAAAAUUCGGGGCUCAACCCCGUCCGGCCGUUGAAACUG